ensembl:miRNA
CCUAACCCAUAGUGUGACCCUGGGCAAUUUAUCUCAUCUUUCUGAACCCCACUUUCUCCAUCUACCAAGAUGAGGGAGUGGGUGGGAGGCGGGAAGACUGCCCCAAAUG